rnacentral:lncRNA from 1 species
GAUAUUUUUGAGAAAAACAGAACUUGACAUUUUUUCAUCAGCAAGUCAACAAAAACACAUCAAUACAAGUCCCUAGUUAAAAAUUAAUGCGACGACGAAGGCGCCUGGGAACAUCAUCCAUAGGAGAUCUAACACGACGGGAGCACCGACGACGACGACGACCACGUCUCGCAGCCACGACAGGCUCGCAAAGAGAAAGAUCUCCAGCAGACCACUCCGCAAACAAGGACUCACGAGCAGCCACAGCAACCCCCUUCCGCUCCAAGAUAGCUUGGCGAAGAGCGGGCAGGUCCAAGGCAG